rnacentral:sRNA from 1 species
UUGGCCGAACUGUAAUAUGAUAACUUGUUAUACUCGUAUUUAUAAGAAACUUUUGAUGAAACUAAGUAGACUAGCUUGUUCCUUUAAUGUUGUUUGUUUGAAAAAUAUAAUAAAAAGAGUCAGUUUGUUGACAGAAGCUUUACAGUUACUAUGAAUCGAACGGCAAACAGCUAAAAACAUCUUCCAUUUCGAUGGAUAGAAGGUGCUUAGUAAAAGAGUAGAAAAGCAAUCAGUAGCAACGCGCCAGAUGAAGGAGAGGUCUGUCUGAGUUCCUUCGCCAGCGACCAUCAUGCUUUACUAUCGGAAGUGUUUCUGUUGUUUGCUGACCCAAAUUUCCUGAGCUUGGAGAGCAAUCCCAUUGUCUUCUUUCUAUGUUUCAGACAUUCAGUGUUUUUAUUUUUAAAAUGAACU